rnacentral:hammerhead_ribozyme from 1 species
AUCCGGCUGACGAAUCCCAAAUAGGACGAAACGCACGUCAAACUGGAU